rnacentral:rRNA from 1 species
UAGGGAAUCUUCCACAAUGGACGCAAGUCUGAUGGAGCAACGCCGCGUGAGUGAAGAAGGUUUUCGGAUCGUAAAGCUCUGUUGUUGGUGAAGAAGGAUAGAGGCAGUAACUGGUCUUUAUUUGACGGUAAUCAACCAGAAAGUCACGGCUAACUACGUGCCAGCAGCCGCGGUAAUACGUAGGUGGCAAGCGUUGUCCGGAUUUAUUGGGCGUAAAGCGAGCGCAGGCGGAAUGAUAAGUCUGAUGUGAAAGCCCACGGCUCAACCGUGGAACUGCAUCGGAAACUGUAAUUCUUGAGUGCAGAAGAGGAGAGUGGAAUUCCAUGUGUAGCGGUGGAAUGCGUAGAUAUAUGGAAGAACACCAGUGGCGAAGGCGGCUCUCUGGUCUGCAACUGACGCUGAGGCUCGAAAGCAUGGGUAGCGAACAGG